rnacentral:rRNA from 1 species
ACAUCCUCUGACACUCCUAGAGAUAGGACGUUCCCCUUCGGGGGACAGAGUGACAGGUGGUGCAUGGUUGUCGUCAGCUCGUGUCGUGAGAUGUUGGGUUAAGUCCCGCAACGAGCGCAACCCUUGAUCUUAGUUGCCAGCAUUCAGUUGGGCACUCUAAGGUGACUGCCGGUGACAAACCGGAGGAAGGUGGGGAUGACGUCAAAUCAUCAUGCCCCUUAUGACCUGGGCUACACACGUGCUACAAUGGAUGGUACAAAGGGCAGCAAAGCCGCGAGGUGGAGCCAAUCCCAUAAAACCAUUCUCAGUUCGGAUUGCAGGCUGCAACUCGCCUGCAUGAAGCCGGAAUCGCUAGUAAUCGCGGAUCAGCAUGCCGCGGUGAAUACGUUCCCGGGCCUUGUACACACCGCCCGUCACACCACGAGAGUUUGUAACACCCGAAGUCGGUGGGGUAACCGUAAGGAGCCA